CUUCCCCCAGAGCAGAUCAUCCACCUCAACAACAAUAACAGCAGUGAUAUUUACAGCCAUGUCCCCCGGGGAGGCCAAGUUACUUGUCAUGAAGCGCACGCUGUGCCUCAACACACACUGCUAUUAAACUGGACUUCAACAGGAAGCACAAGAGUUCACAGGAGGUUCAUUUCUGCCCAGCAGAGAAGUGCCAAAGCCAUCCCUGCCACAUUCUGAGAGCUCAUGAACUUCAGGCCCCAAGAGGAGGAAAUGUUCUGUCCUCGCCUUGGUGUCCGCGUGCAUGCGCACAGCGUGGAGCGCUGCGACAUAUUUAACAGACACUGGCUUUUGACAAAUGAGCCGACCGCCUUCUAUCACUCAAGAAUACUGCUGGUUUCAAUGGAGGGGCUUGCACUCUUGCCCUUAAGUACACCGUUUACUCAGCAACACAUGAUCAUAUAUAUACGUGUGUGUGCGUGUGUGUGUGCUUUCUUGUGGAUACAGAUUCCAUAAAUAAAAAAGGUACUACAACACCCAGUCUGAGCAGGAUAUGCAAUUAGCCCUGGUUUUGCAAAGCUUGCAAACUGUGGUCUUUAAAGUUCUUCAAAAUGCUUGAAAUUGACCUUGACUGAACAAAAGGUGUGAUCAUUUCCUUUCAACUUAACACUAACUUUUCUGGCUUUUCACGCCAAGUUUAAACACUUGUUAUACAAGGAAAAUUGAACUCAAUUUUUACUAUUC